GACAGAGGGUGCAAACGUUGUUCGGAUUUACUGGGCGUAAAGCGUGUGUAGGCGGCUUUGCAAGUCGGAUGUGAAAUCCCACGGCUCAACCGUGGAAGUGCAUCCGAAACGGCAUCGCUUGAGUCUCGGAGAGGAAGGUGGAAUGCUUGGUGUAGAGGUGAAAUGCGUAGAUAUCGGGAGGAACACCUGUGGCGAAGGCGGCCCCCUGGUUGGAUACUGACGCUGAUACGCGAAAGCGUGGGGAGCAACAGG
rnacentral:rRNA from 1 species